GGGCCGGUAGCUCAGUUGGUAGAGCAGGGGACUUUUAAUCCCAAGGUCGUUGGUUCGAUUCCAACCCGGCCCA
rnacentral:tRNA from 1 species